rnacentral:rRNA from 1 species
CCCCAUGAUUAUAUCGAGAGGCAUCUUUUGAUAUUUAAAGUUUCGACGGUACGGGAUGGGCAUGCGCAACAUUAGCUAGUUGGUAGGGUAACGGCCUACCAAGGCUACGAUGUUUAGGGGACCUGAGAGGGUGAUCCCCCACACUGGUACUGAGACACGGACCAGACUCCUACGGGAGGCAGCAGUGAGGAAUAUUGGUCAAUGGGCGUAAGCCUGAACCAGCCAUCCCGCGUGAAGGAAGAAGGCGCUAUGCGUUGUAAACUUCUUUUCCAGAGGAAGAAAACCCCUGACGUGUCAGGGCUUGCCGGUACUCUGGGAAUAAGCAUCGGCUAACUCCGUGCCAGCAGCCCGCGGUAAUACGGAGGAUGCAAGCGUUAUCCGGAUUUAUUGGGUUUAAAGGGUGCGUAGGCGGAUUAAUAAGUCAGUGGUGAAAACCUUCAGCUUAACUGGAGACUUGCCAUUGAUACUGGUAGUCUUGAG